rnacentral:rRNA from 1 species
AACGAACGCUGGCGGCAUGCCUAACACAUGCAAGUCGAACGGAGGCCCGAAGCUUGCUUCGGAUACCUUAGUGGCGAACGGGUGAGUAACACGUGGGAAUCUACCUAAAAUGGGGAAUAACUAUUGGAAACGAUAGCUAAUACCGCAUAAUCCCUGAGGGGCAAAGGCUUCGGCCGUUUUUAGAUGAGCCCGCGCUAGAUUAGGUUGUUGGUGGGGUAAAAGCCUACCAAGCCUACUAUCUAUAGCUGGUCUGAGAGGAUGAUCAGCCACACUGGGACUGAGACACGGCCCAGACUCCUACGGGAGGCAGCAGUGGGGGAAUAUUGGACAAUGGGGGAAACCCUGAUCCAGCAAUGCCGCGUGAGUGAAGAAGGCCUUAGGGUUGUAAAGCUCUUUCAGAAGUGAAGAUGAUGACUGUAACUUCAGAAGAAGAUCCGGCUAACUCCGUGCCAGCCGCCGCGGUAAU